UACGUAGGGGGCGAGCGUUGUCCGGAUUUAUUGGGCGUAAAGAGCGUGUAGGCGGCCAGGUAGGUCUGCUGUGAAAACUCGAGGCUCAACCUCGAGACGUCGGCGGAAACCAUCUGGCUAGAGUCCGGAAGAGGAGAGUGGAAUUCCUGGUGUAGCGGUGGAAUGCGCAGAUAUCAGGAGGAACACCGAUAGCGAAGGCAGCUCGCUGGGACGGUACUGACGCUGAGGCGCGAAAGCGUGGGGAGCGAACAGG
rnacentral:rRNA from 1 species